AACUUUUAACAACGGAUCACUUGGUUCUGGCAUCGAUGAAGAACGCAGCGAAAUGCGAUAAGUAAUGUGAAUUGCAGAAUGCAGUGAAUCAUCGAAUCUUUGAACGCACAUUGCGCCCCUUGGUAUUCCGAGGGGCAUGCCUGUUCGAGCGUCAUUACAACCCUCAAGCUCUGCUUGGUAUUGGGCCUCACCCGUUAGGGCGUGCCUUAAAAUUAGUGGCGGUGCCAUCUGGCUCUAAGCGUAGUAAUUCUCUCGCUAUAGGGUCCUGUGGAUGCUUGCCAGCAACCCCAAUUUUUUCUAUGGUUGACCUCGGAUCAGGUAGGGAUACCCGCUGAACUUAAGCAUAUCAAUAAGCGGAGGCU
rnacentral:misc_RNA from 1 species